CCUGUGAUGUCCGAGUGGUUUAGGAGAUUGACUAGAAAUCAAUUGGGCUCUGCCCGCGUAGGUUCGAAUCCUGCUGACUGCG
rnacentral:tRNA from 1 species